GAUGAACGCUGGCGGCGUGCCUAAUACAUGCAAGUCGAGCGAACAGACGAGGAGCUUGCUCCUCUGACGUUAGCGGCGGACGGGUGAGUAACACGUGGAUAACCUACCUAUAAGACUGGGAUAACUUCGGGAAACCGGAGCUAAUACCGGAUAAUAUAUUGAACAGAAUGGUUCAAUAGUGAAAGACGGUUUUGCUGUCACUUAUAGAUGGAUCCGCGCCGCAUUAGCUAGUUGGUAAGGUAACGGCUUACCAAGGCGACGAUGCGUAGCCGACCUGAGAGGGUGAUCGGCCACACUGGAACUGAGACACGGUCCAGACUCCUACGGGAGGCAGCAGUAGGGAAUCUUCCGCAAUGGGCGAAAGCUUGACGGAGCAACGCCGCGUGAGUGAUGAAGGUCUUCGGAUCGUAAAACUCUGUUAUUAGGGAAGAACAAAUGUGUAAGUAACUAUGCACGUCUUGACGGUACCUAAUCAGAAAGCCACGGCUAACUACGUG
rnacentral:rRNA from 1 species